ensembl:lncRNA
AUGACCGCAAAAAGAUACCGUCACUCAGUGAACUGCCUGGAUGGCCAAGGCCAAGACGCUGCAGACCAUGGUGUCUGGAUGAGCUGGAGCUGGAGCAGCGCAUCAGCAGCCACAUGGAGACGGGAGAGGCGCAGGACAUCCAGCAGCGCUGCCAGUGAUGAGGCUGAGGCGGCAGGAAAGGAGCGUACUGCCGUGUCGCGCAAGCUGCUGCCAUCUCCUGUCAUGAAACACAUCACCGCAAUCAGCAGAAGGGAGAGUUUCCUGUUUCAACUAGACCACCAUGAUCUACACUAGGCCUGGGCAAUUCAUGAAGCGAGGCUACAUGAUGAAGGGCAACAUUAUAGGUGCCAUUAUCCCGACAAGAUUUGAAAAUGGCGCUCAUUUAUAAUUCACUGUCAUAAUCUGGUCGGGCAGGGGCCACUCCGGGUCCGGAGUUCGGACCGGAGUUUCGUGUCCACCUGUGUAUGAUUGUAUAAAGCUGCCCUGUUCGUGUCUGUUCGCCGUCGGGUCAUUGUUUGGUGAUGUUUCCCUUGUCCACCAUGUAUUAAACCCCUGUUUCGUGAUGUCGUGCGUAUGCGUCCUUCUUCCUCGCCAUGUCCAGCCAUCGUGACAUUCACUGACAUGUUCGUUUACUUAUCAGUGACUGAAAAUGAAGCAGU